rnacentral:rRNA from 1 species
AUUGAACGCUGGCGGCAGGCCUAACACAUGCAAGUCGAACGGUAACAGGAAGCAGCUUGCUGCUUUGCUGACGAGUGGCGGACGGGUGAGUAAUGUCUGGGAAACUGCCUGAUGGAGGGGGAUAACUACUGGAAACGGUAGCUAAUACCGCAUAACGUCGCAAGACCAAAGAGGGGGACCUUCGGGCCUCUUGCCAUCUGAUGUGCCCAGAUGGGGUUCGCUAGUAGGUGGGGUAACGGCUCACCUAGGCGACGCUCCCUAGCUGGUCUGAGAGGAUGACCAGCCACACUGGAACUGGGACACGGUCCAGACUCCUACGGGAGGCAGCAGUGGGGAAUAUUGCACAAUGGGCGCAAGCCUGAUGCAGCCAUGCCGCGUGUAUGAAGAAGGCCUUCGGGUUGUAAAGUACUUUCAGCGGGGAGGAAGGGAGUAAAGUUAAUACCUUUGCUCAUUGACGUUACCCGCAGAAGAAGCACCGGCUACCUCCGU